CUUUAGCCCAGACAGAUUGAAGAUGAUUCUAGCUGAAAGGUCGUAUCAACAGUGAAAAUGAAAAUUGUUUUUUUACUGCUGCUUGCUCUUGUAUUUUAUGGUGACUCAGUUCAAGCUAUGUAUGAGUGCCACCAUAGGAAGAUGACAUACCUACACGGUGAUGUAGUCAAAGAUGAUAUGUUACAUCCCUGCUUGUGCCUGCUCGGUGCCAUCAUUUGCAAUUAACAGCUUCAUCUACGGUAACGAUGUAAGCUCAGCAUACUGUGUUACUGAUUAUCUGGAUUUUGUAACGUGACUGUCUACUGAAAGAAAAAAAAAAAAGAUAAAAUAAACUGAAACAUGCUUGCUCACUGAUUAAACAAAGACGUGUAUUUUUAAUCAGCAACGGUCACUAGUUAUUAAAAUUAUAAGGCCUAGGUAUUUUGAUAGAAUAAGUGUUUAAUUUUUUCUGUCUCUUUUAGUGGAUUGAAAAUGUAUGAAUAAAAAAGUAAUGUUGCUUUUAGGAUUUGCAUUUGGUCAAAAUUCUUGUGUUACUAAAAAUCUAUAUAUUAUGCAUUCUCGAAUAAAAAUAAAAGAGAUU